CGAUACCGCAAGGUAUAGUGGCAAAAGGGUGCGUAACGCGUGAGCAAUCUACCUUCAAGUGGGGAAUAACCUUGGGAAACCGAGGCUAAAACCGCAUAUGACCACAGCCCGGAAUCGGGAAGUGGUAAAAAAUGGGGACCGUAAGGCCUGUUGCUUGAAGAUGAGCUCGCGUCCUAUCAGCUUGUUGGCGGGGUAAUGGCCCACCAAGGCUUUUGACGGGUAGCUGGUCUGAGAGGAUGGUCAGCCACAUUGGGACUGAGACACAGCCCAGACUCCUACGGGAGGCAGCAGUGGGGAAUCUUGCGCAAUGGCCGCAAGGCUGAC
rnacentral:rRNA from 1 species